GACGAACGCUGGCGGCGUGCUUAACACAUGCAAGUCGAACGGAAAGGCCCUGCUUUUGUGGGGUGCUCGAGUGGCGAACGGGUGAGUAACACGUGAGUAACCUGCCCUUGACUUUGGGAUAACUUCAGGAAACUGGGGCUAAUACCGGAUAGGAGCUCCUGCUGCAUGGUGGGGGUUGGAAAGUUUCGGCGGUUGGGGAUGGACUCGCGGCUUAUCAGCUUGUUGGUGGGGUAGUGGCUUACCAAGGCUUUGACGGGCAGCCGGCCUGAGAGGGUGACCGGCCACAUUGGGACUGAGAUACGGCCCAGACUCCUACGGGAGGCAGCAGUGGGGAAUAUUGCACAAUGGGCGGAAGCCUGAUGCAGCAACGCCGCGUGCGGGAUGACGGCCUUCGGGUUGUAAACCGCUUUCGCCUGUGACGAAGCGUGAGUGGCGGUAAUGGGUAAAGAAGCACCGGCUAACUACGUG
rnacentral:rRNA from 1 species